UACGUAGGGGGCAAGCGUUAUCCGGAUUUACUGGGUGUAAAGGGAGCGUAGACGGUGAUGCAAGUCAGAAGUGAAAGCCCGGGGCUCAACUCCGGGACUGCUUUUGAAACUGUGUAACUGGAGUGCAGGAGAGGUAAGCGGAAUUCCUAGUGUAGCGGUGAAAUGCGUAGAUAUUAGGAGGAACACCAGUGGCGAAGGCGGCUUACUGGACUGUAACUGACGUUGAGGCUCGAAAGCGUGGGGAGCAAACAGG
rnacentral:rRNA from 1 species